rnacentral:rRNA from 1 species
GUGCCAGCAGCCGCGGUAAUACGGAGGGUGCAAGCGUUGUCCGGAAUCACUGGGCGUAAAGGGUGCGCAGGCGGGGCAGCAAGUCGGAGGUGAAAGCCCAUGGCUCAACCAUGGAAGUGCCUUCGAAACUGUUGCUCUUGAGGCCCGGAGAGGCUGGCGGAAUUCGUGGUGUAGGGGUGAAAUGCGUAGAUAUCACGAGGAACACCAGAGGCGAAAGCGGACAGCUGGACGGGUACUGACGCUCAGGCACGAAAGCGUGGGUAGCAAACAGGAUUAGAAACCCGAGUAGUCC